GCUGAAUAAACUCGGUACCGUAAAUUCCUCUGCACUGAAACAUUCCAUCUAACCACCCUCACCACUGGGCGAUAGCGUGAAGUGUUGCUGCAUUCCAGUGACCAACAGGAAGAUGUGGAAGUGAGUGCUGACCUGCACCUGCCGGGCAGGAGGGAAACAGGCACAUCCACAAGGAGCUGAAGGUGUCCGUCCCCAGACUCCAUGAGGGCCACCAACUCCCAGUGCCCGACAUAAACUAGAGUGAUGGAAUUCGGAGUUGGAAGAUCAUCUCCUCCAAGUGUCCAUCUAAAGAUGAAUUCCCUCUAGAUCUUUUUGGCAUUUCUGCGCAGCUCUGGAUUUGGGCAGUUUUCCCUUACAUGAAGCC